CGAUUAAUUUUGUCGCCGGACCAAUAUUGACUCAACGCAGAAACUUAAAAUUCAAAGUCCUUCCAAGAGAAAUAAACAAAAGUAAAAUCUGUUCGAAAAGUGGACACUGAUCAAUUAGGUGACGGCCGCAAGCAUCUUUCGAAAGUGUGAUUCGAAAACAGUCGCAGCAGCGAGUCGCUUGUGUGAUACCGUCAUUAAAUAAUGGAUUCGCGCGAGAGAAUCUCGUUAGCUUCUUCAGCCGACGAAGAUUCUCCGUCUCCAUUCGAAAGAAACGCGCUCAAAAGUUGGAUUAAAACGGUUGAAUCUUCUCCUUCCUCUAUAACUCGAGGUAAAGAUAUUAAUAUGAAGUGCGAGUAAAAAUAAAAACGUUGGUGCAAUGAAUUUUUUUCUAUAACAACACUGUACUACUUUGCUGCUUCGACGUCCAAGGGAAAACCUUUUAUCGGUGCAAGUUCGAUAACUUGAAGUUUACAAGUUUGUUUGGGGCCGUGUACUUAUUAUAAUUACGUGUUCGGAUGUGUUUGUCCGUUGCACAAAUUUUUGCAGGAUCGCUGAUGCGAUCUAAUGCAAUUUUAUUAGGUUUUGUGUUACACUGGAUUUUCGAUUCCACUUUUACAUUUCGGAAUGGUCGCCUUGUCCCCGCGUUCACCCGCGUUACAUUAGAGCUAGGAACAGGUAUCAAUUAAUUAACAAUAAAUUCACUAACAAUAAGUGCAAGUUUAGUUACAAUCAAGUGCGUACGUAUUUUUCUGUGCCAUGCAAUAUUUAUACAAUGGAAAAAGCGUCGAGCCAAGUGCACUCAGUCGGGGAGAGAAUAUUUCAAAGGUGACCAUCUUCCAGAUCAAAUAAUUAAAUUUGUGAUCUUGCAACAUCUUUCAACGUCACAAUUCCGGCGAAACUAGCUCCAAGAUUGUUUGAAGUUUUAAUUUGGUAUCCCAAUAAGAAUAAAGAUACACCAGCUGGAACGAAUACCAAACUCUAUUUAGAUGUUCUUAAUAGAGCGAUUUCAUCCGAUGAACCAAAAGUUUUUUAUAAAUUAAUGUCGCUAGCUGAAAAGCUGCACAAAGAAAUAGGUUGUGAUAACUCAGUAAAGUUGUGGAGAAAACUCAAACCAACCUUAGCCAUGUGUUCUCGACUUGAUUUACAUGACAUAGCUCAUGAAAUUGUUGUUGAACUUUAUAAUUUUCCAUUUUACGUUCCAGCGUUAAUAUAUACUGUGCAUAGACUUCGUAUAUCAGACCCAUCCCUGAAGAUGUUGAUACGUAAGAAGAGAGAUUCACUGAUUUCAGUAACGUCGGGAGUUUAAUAUAACUGAAAUGAGAACAGAAUGAAAUACCGAAAUUUAUCAAUCAGAUUUCUAGAAAAUUUCCUGGUCCUUCAAUGCCUACAACUUCAACGUUAAUUGAA